rnacentral:rRNA from 1 species
AGUGAACGCUGGCGGCGUGCUUAACACAUGCAAGUCGAACGAGAACGGGUUAUAGCUUGCUAUAAUUGUCAACUAAGUGGCGCACGGGUGAGUAAUGUAUAGGUAACAUGCCUCUUACUAAGGGAUAACAAAUGGAAACGUUUGCUAAUACCUUAUACUCCUUAUUAACAGAAGUUAAUAAGGGAAAGAUUUAUUGGUAAGAGAUUAGCCUGUAUUGUAUCAGUUAGUUGGUGGGGUAAUGGCUUACCAAGACUAUGACACAUAACUGGUUUGAGAGGAUGAUCAGUCACACUGGAACUGAGACACGGUCCAGACUCCUACGGGAGGCAGCAGUGGGGAAUAUUGCACAAUGGACGAAAGUCUGAUGCAACAACGCCGCGUGGAGGAUGACACAUUUCGGUGCGUAAACUCCUUUUAUAUAAGAAGAUAAUGACGGUAUUAUAUGAAUAAGCACCGGCUAACUCCGUGCCAGCCGCCGCAGUAA